rnacentral:misc_RNA from 1 species
GAUGAAGAACGUAGCGAAAUGCGAUAAGUAAUGUGAAUUGCAGAAUUCAGUGAAUCAUCGAAUCUUUGAACGCACAUUGCGCCCGCUAGUAUUCUGGCGGGCAUGCCUGUCCGAGCGUCAUUUCAACCCUCAAGCCCCCGGGCUUGGUGUUGGGGAUCGGCGAGCCUCCGCGCCCGCCGUCCCCUAAAUCUAGUGGCGGUCUCGCUGUAGCUUCCUCUGCGUAGUAGCACACCUCGCACUGGGAAACAGCGCGGCCACGCCGUUAAACCCCCAACUUCUGAACGUUUGACCUCGGAUCAGGUAGGAAUACCCGCUGAACUUAAGCAUAUCAUAAGCGGAGA